rnacentral:rRNA from 1 species
GUAGGUGGCAAGCGUUGUCCGGAAUUAUUGGGGCGUAAAGCGCGCGCAGGCGGUUCUUUAAGUCUGAUGUGAAAGCCCACGGGCUCAACCGUGGAGGGUCAUUGGAAACUGGAGAACUUGAGUACAGAAGAGGAAAGCGGAAUUCCACGCGUAGCGGUGAAAUGCGUAGAGAUGUGGAGGAACACCAGUGGCGAAGGCGGCUUUCUGGUCUGUAACUGACGCUGAGGCGCGAAAGCGUGGGGAGCAAACAGGAUUAGAUACCCUGGUAGUCCACGCCGUAAACGAUGAGUGCUAAGUGUUAGGGGGUUUCCGCCCCUUAGUGCUGCAGCUAACGCAUUAAGCACUCCGCCUGGGGAGUACGGCCGCAAAGGCUG